rnacentral:rRNA from 1 species
UUAAAUUGAAGAGUUUGAUCAUGGCUCAGAUUGAACGCUGGCGGCAGGCCUAACACAUGCAAGUCGAGCGGAAACGAGUUAUCUGAACCUUCGGGGAACGAUAACGGCGUCGAGCGG